rnacentral:lncRNA from 1 species
CACUUUUUGAUGUCUUUGAUUGGCCUUUGAACCAACAAUAUCUAUGGUUGAUGUAUUUUGUUCUUAUGCAGCAAGUUAUCAAUGAAGAUGUUGUACAUGAUGACAUAGAUGAGGAAUUUCAAGAGGAAGACGUAGAUGAUGAAUUUCUUGAGGACGAAUUUCUUGAGGACAACUUAAGUGAUGAAUUUCAAGAGGAUGAUAUAGAUGAUGAAUUUCAAGAGGAUGACCUAGAUGAUGAAUUUCAAGAGGAUGACCUAGAUGAUGAAAUUCAAGAGGAUGACAUCGGUGAUGAAUUUGAAGUGGACGAUUUGGCUGAUGAAUUACAAGAUAAACUUGAAUGAUCGAGUUGGAUGGUGUUUUAUUUUGGAUUGUAGUUAAGCCACUAAACUUGUCCGAACUAUAGUUUUAUUAUUUUGCUAAGCUUAUACUUCGAAGCAUUAAACUUAUCAAGUAAUGUUUCACAUUUUGAUUACUAUUAUGUCUUGAAUUAAUGUUUGAACUAUUUUAUUAUAUUACAUCUUUUGUGGUUGUAUUGCUAAAUUCGAUCUUGUUUGAGUUAUAAUUGACAAUUUUAAUAUUGCCUUUAAGCUAUAGUUACAUUUCUAAAAUAAUUGGAAAAUUCUAAAAUU